rnacentral:rRNA from 1 species
UACGUAGGGGGCAAGCGUUGUCCGGAUUUAUUGGGCGUAAAGAGCGUGUAGGCGGCCUGAAGGGUCAGCUGUGAAAACUCGAGGCUCAACCUCGAGACGUCGGUUGAAACCAUCUGGCUAGAGUCCGGAAGAGGAGUGUGGAAUUCCCGGUGUAGAGGUGAAAUUCGUAGAUAUUGGGAAGAACACCGGUGGCGAAGGCGGCGACCUGGUCCGAUACUGACGCUGAGGCGCGAAAGCGUGGGGAGCAAACAGG